GGAAAAGAGUGUUCUUAAUUCAGGACACUGGACUGAGGAAAGCACAAAAAAAUGUAAUGUAGGGAACAAUCCUGGACUGGCUGGCAAUGGACAAGCUGAACUAAUAGGCUGUUGUGACCUCUGCUUCUAGUAUUUCUUUUUCUGCUCUGUGUUAGCUGCUACUUCCUGGUGUGUGUGCUGUGGUGUGUUUAUGUAUAAAAUGGACAGCGCUCUAAGCUUUAUAGUCCUAAAAUGAUGUGUCCUUUUGUAUGUUCUUAUUUAAGGGCCCAUUCCAGCCAAGCAGGAUGCUCUCAGCAGCCACAAAGCCCAGAUUGACGUCAGUGUGAAUUCAAAGUUCUCUGAACUGUGCAGGGUCGGGUCCUACGUGUGGAAAUAGUGUGCGGUGAGAUUUAGCAGGACUAUCUGGGAUGAACAGAUAAGAGGGCGAUCACUGUGACUUGGAAUGAAUCCAUGGAAUCCGCAAGAACAGUGGCCUUUGCCAGCUCUCCAACAAGCUGCUGAAAAAAUUGGUAUCCAGUGCACAACUUUAUUCACUGACGAAAUGGAGCCACCUCUUGGAUGAAAGGUAGCAGCCGUUUAAUAGCCUACAAAACACUGCUCAACACUUUGACACAAGAAGUGAAACAUGUGACAUCAAAGUGAAAGCGCAGAAGGAAUUUACAUAAUCAAAACGUAAUUGCCUGAGUGCAAAUGUGGUCAGAAAAUCCCUAUUCUUCCCAAAAGUGGCAUGAAACCAUUAAAUUCUUCAAGUGGAGGAGUUAGCCAAAGGUUUCUCUGCUUUGCAGUUCCUUCCCCAGCAGUAGAGGCAAGCUGGGGCAGAGAAUAGCUACCACGGUGAUUUAGAGACUUUGAACUACAGCACCUUCCAUCCGAGGAUCUGAAAGUACUUCAUUGGCAUUUCUAUGGAGCUUGUCACCACCGUAGUACCUGAGUGCUUUGGAAAAGUUGGGCAAAAUCCUGGCCCCACUGAAGUGAGUGGCAAAAUUCUCAUUUACUUCAUUGAGCCAUUGAGUUGAUCCUCAAAACACAACUGUAAAAUAAAUCUUAAUAUCCCCAUUUUACGGAUGAGGAAAGUGGGAUGCACAGAAAUUAAAUGACUUGCCCAAGGAUGCCACACAGGAAGUUAGUGGCAACAGCAGAAGUAGAACCCUAACUUUCUAGCUCCUUGAUCUGACCCUCAACAACAGGGCCAUCCUACAUCUGGCCAACUGAAUUAGGCAUAUGAAGGGAGUACUGUUCCAUAGCCUAUUGCUAUCCUACUGCUUAUUGUCAAUGGCAGUAUUGCACACAGGGGCAGCAUAGGGUAUGGUCCUCUAAAUGCAAGUUCAUUGAUAUUAGAGCAGAGAGGUCCAUGGCCUAGAUUAUCUUAGUUUUGAGUCUGGAGAGUUAUUCACAACACUCACAACGUAAGGCCCUAUCUAAGCCUAUCAACCUUCCUUUUAUAAGCCUGUUGUAUAAUCCUAACCUUUUCUUUUCACACCAUUAGAAAAGUUUGAUUGGACGUUGAUUUCUCUGAGAAUCCAUUUUUUGUUUUUGUUUUUCUAUGUUCUAUUAACCGUCCAUCUCCUCCGCUUUGUCAUCAUGUUCUUGUUCUGUUGUCAUUCAAACAACUUUACACGGGAGUUGGAGGGGAGAAAGGUCAGAGGUUACACUUUGGGAGGCCAAAGAAAUAAAAGGGUAGCAGAUAUACAAAUGGCCUGAUUUUGCAACAUCCUGAACACUUUGCAAUUCCCUUGCGUUGGGAGAUAUGGGAAUUUAGUGCCUUGCAAUAUUCAGUCUUGUAUAGCUGCUUUGAAAAUUCAUGACCAAGUUAACUGCACUCAGUCCAUAUUCAAACUUUGUACCAUAGUCCAUCUGGGAUCCAGUGCCAAAUUGCUACUGAUAUUAGCAGGAAUUUUGUGCAUCAACAGUGGCAGUAUUUGGGCCAUUAUAAUGUAAUAGUAUGUUUGCAUAAAUCCUACUAUGGGGCAAAUAUCUCAAUUAUAGAUCCACGUGGGUCCUCUACUGCCCUUUUCCUCUUGAUUCAUGCAACAGACUCUAGUGGUUUCAAUGGUGUUUUUGUACUGCAUCCCAUAUCAUUAGAGCUUGGCAAAACUUUUCCAUAAAAAAAUUUCCAUAAACA